rnacentral:rRNA from 1 species
UACGUAGGGAGCAAGCGUUGUCCGGAAUCAUUGGGCGUAAAGCGCGCGUAGGUGGCUUCGUAAGUCCGUUGUGAAAGUCAAAGGCUCAACCUUUGAAUGCCGAUGGAUACUGCGGAGCUAGAGUACGGAAGAGGCGAGUGGAAUUCCUGGUGUAGCGGUGGAAUGCGCAGAUAUCAGGAGGAACACCAAUAGCGAAGGCAGCUCGCUGGAACGUUACUGACACUAAGGCGCGAAAGCGUGGGGAGCGAACAGG